GUUACUACUUGAAAUAGUGGAAAAGACGGAGUGCGGACAACGGAGUCGGAGUACGGAGUACGGAGUCUCUCAAAAAAUUGUUUAUUUCGCAUAGAUUCGAUUUUAACGAGACUCCGCCUUUCACUGAAAGACCAUUCAUUUGAAACGGAUGCGUUUAAAAAAACAGUUUGACAUUGUCGACAUUAGUUCGCAACGUUUGCUUAAAGCAGGAAAGUCCAAUAUCAUAGACCAAGGGCAAU